rnacentral:misc_RNA from 1 species
GAAAUGCGAUACGUAGUGUGAAUUGCAGAAAUACGUGAAUCAUCGAAUCUUUGAACGCAAAUUGCGCUCGAGGCUUCGGCCAAGAGCAUGUCUGCCUCAGCGUCGGGUUAAUACUCACUCUCGUACUCACAUUAAUUUAAUUAAUGUGGAUGAGAGUGGAACUGGCUGUCUCGGUUAUUAAUUAAUUAAUUAAUUAACCGCCGGGUCAGCUGAAGUACAGAUAUUGUACCAUGGACCGUUAAACGGGCCUCUACUGGGUAGGCAAUUCGUUGCUGCAAUGCUUUAGUAGAUGGCUUGGGUGCUGUGUACAAUACGAAACAGGAAUACGACUCGUCGUAUUAAAACCCUAUUUUCUCGACCUGAGCUCAGGCAAGAUUACCCGCUGAACUUAA